rnacentral:rRNA from 1 species
GAUGAACGCUAGCGGCAGGCCUAAUACAUGCAAGCCGAACGGCAAGACUUGUAGCAAUACGAGUCCUAGAGUGGCGUAAGGGUGCGUAACACGUAUGCAAUCUGCCCGCAACCGGAGUAUAGCUCCCCGAAAGGGGAAUUAACGCUCCAUAGGAACACACGAGGGCAUCUGAGAGUGUUUAAACGUAAGGGUUGUGGAUGAGCAUGCGCAUGAUUAGCUAGUUGGUAGGGUAACGGCCUACCAAGGCGAU